rnacentral:misc_RNA from 1 species
AAGUCGUAACAAGGUUUCCGUAGGUGAACCUGCGGAAGGAUCAUUAUAAAAUUUUCAUAUUUAUUUUAAUAUGUAAAAAUAAUAUAUAUAUUCAAAACCCACACUCUUUAUAUAUAUAAACCAUUAUAAAAAAAAAUAUAAUAUAAAAACAACUUUCAACAACGGAUCUCUUGGCUCUC